rnacentral:lncRNA from 1 species
GGCCUAAAGAUAAAAGAUGUGAUAGCUUCCCUUGGAGAAGAGAACAUGGGUAAUAACUUAGAAUCUGCAGGUGAAGAGAGUAUUUAUGACCAGACAAGAGGAGCCAGGAAGAAAUUAAUGUUGAAAAGUCAAGUGUACAUUUAAACAUCCCAGAUGGGAGAAAAAUCAAUUCUACAUCAACAUUGCUAAAGAAGAAAACAGAAAAGCCAAGACAGAUCAGGUGAAAAAUCUUCAGGCUGAGCAAACCUCGACUGAAAGUGCAGAUCAAAAUCUUCUGCAGAGAGGAAAUGAAGUGACUGAACUUUGUCAAGACAAAGCAGUGUCGUCUCUUGAGAAAUGAUCUGUCUGGGAAGGUCAUUAUUGGAGCAAGAGGAAGAAAGUUCUGAAGCAAAUGCCAAGAUGAGCCUGUUAUAAAGAGCUGAAGACCUUCAGAAAGCAAGUCAAAGACCUUGUAGCACAGUGCAACAGGAUCAUUUGUUCUUCUCAAAACCAAGUUAUUUCCCUUGAACUAAAAGCUCAUGAUUGUUAGUUGAGAGUACAGGAGGCUGAAAGAAAGCUC